UAGGGAAUUUUCCACAAUGGACGAAAGUCUGAUGGAGCAACGCCGCGUGCAGGAUGAAGGCUUUCGGGUCGUAAACUGCUUUUAUAUGUGACGAUUAUGACGGUAGCAUAUGAAUAAGGAUCGGCUAACUCCGUGCCAGCAGCCGCGGUCAUACGGAGGAUCCAAGCGUUAUCCGGAAUUACUGGGCGUAAAGAGUUGCGUAGGUGGCAUGGUAAGUUGGUAGUGAAAUCCUGGGGCUCAACCCCUUACACAUUACCAAAACUGCCAAGCUAGAGGACAAGAGAGGUUAUUGGAAUUCCUAGUGUAGGAGUGAAAUCCGUAGAUAUUAGGAGGAACACCGAUGGCGUAGGCAGAUAACUGGCUUGUUCCUGACACUAAGGCACGAAAGCGUGGGUAGCAAACGGGAUUAGAUACCCGCGUAGUCC
rnacentral:rRNA from 1 species